GCCCUCCAGAUUCCUUUCCCAUCAGUGCUGAACUGUGGUCUGAGCGGUUGUACGAGGAGGAAAAGCAUAACUGGUACUGACGGGAUAUCGUAAGACAGAAUUUUGCAAAA
rnacentral:snoRNA from 1 species